rnacentral:rRNA from 1 species
AAAACAAUUACGCUGUUAUCCCCAGAGUAACUUGAUUUAUUAAUCUAUUUAUAGGAUCAAAAAUUUUCUAUUAUUAUAUUAACUUAUAAAAUAAUGAAGUUCAUAAAUUUCAUCAACCGCCCCAGUUUAAUUUUAAUUUAUUUAUAAAUAAUAAUUAAAAUAAAGUUUCAAGGGGUCUUCUCGUCCUGCUACAAAUUUCUUCUUUUUCAAAGAAAAAUUAAUUUAAACUUAAAUAAAUUGAGACAAUAUUAAGUUCAUUAACCCGGUCAUUCCAUUUUACAAUUAAUAAACUAAUUAUUAUGUACCUUUGCAA